UACGUAGGGUGCAUGCGUUAAUCGGAAUUACUGGGCGUAAAGCGUGCGCAGGCGGUCUUUUAAGUCAGAUGUGAAAUCCCCGGGCUUAACCUGGGAACUGCGUUUGAAACUGGAAGGCUUGAGUGUGGCAGAGGGGGGUGGAAUUCCACGUGUAGCAGUGAAAUGCGUAGAGAUGUGGAGGAACACCGAUGGCGAAGGCAGCCCCCUGGGUUAACACUGACGCUCAUGCACGAAAGCGUGGGGAGCAAACAGG
rnacentral:rRNA from 1 species